rnacentral:rRNA from 1 species
CCUACGGGGGGCAGCAGUGAGGAAUAUUUGUCAAUGGACGCAAGUCUGAACCAGCCAAGUAGCGUGCAGGAUGACGGCCCUCCGGGUUGUAAACUGCUUUUAGUUGGGAAUAAAAGGGGGCUCGUGAGCCCCGUAUUGUAUGUACCAUCAGAAAAAGGACCGGCUAAUUCCGUGCCAGCAGCCGCGGUAAUACGGAAGGUCCGGGCGUUAUCCGGAUUUAUUGGGUUUAAAGGGGGAGUAGGCCGGCUUUGAAGUCAGCUGUGAAAUCCCCGCGCGGAACGUGGGAACUGACUUUGAAACUGGCAAACUGGAGUGUGUGAGAGGAUAGUGGAAGUCCAGGUGUAGGAGUGAAAUCCGUAGAUAUCUGGAGGAACAUCAGUGGCGAAGGCGACUAUCUGGCACAUAACUGACGCUGAGGAGCGAAAGCGUGGGUAGCAAACAGGAUUAGAUACCCCUGUAGUC